GAGCUUUAGGGAGAUGGUUGGCAUCUCCACUGACUGGGACGGGAACAGUCUUCAGACAUACCUGUUACCACACAUAUGGUUAAAGAUAUAGCUUUUAGUGUAACCCUGAAAACUCUAGCUAGAACUCUCCUCUCUGUUUU